AUUAGACAAUUGCAAGCAUGGAAGUGUCAACCUUGUGCAUCAGAGUUCCAUGGGUGCUCAAGGCACCCAAGGCAGUGCUUACACUAAGGGGCAGAUCCUAAAGCUCUAAGAACGAGAUUGUGUUUGGAAUUGAAAGAGUUAAAAAUAGUUUAGGCACAGUCUAAAAAAACUGUUGAAAGAGUUGAGAGAGUUAAGAAGAGAGUUGAAAAGUUGAGACAGUUUAAGGAAAAAAAUAGUUGAAAAAGUUGAGACAGUUCUUCUGAAAUCAUUUGGACUGGCCAGCUUUAGAACAGCAGGGCAUCACACAAACAGGGGGCAAAGGGUAAAAGAGACAAAUAAGUAAAGUGAAAUACUCACACACAGACAACAUAUUGGAGGAAAAAUAAUCAGACAUGGUUGCAAACAAGAGUUCAGCUCUUACUGCGCCAAACUCUAACACACUUAGCCUCAAACACCGGUAUUAGGUUAACCAAAUAUCCAACAAGGCAUAGAUGCAUGGUAGUAGCACACAAGGAAAAAGUAAACAUUCAUUGAAACAGAGGGAGGGGGGUAAGAGGGCAAAUAAGUAAAGAGCAAACAAGUAAAGUGUACAGACAACAUGUUGGGGGAAAGUAAUCAAGCAUGGUUGUAAAACAAGGGUUUACUUCAUACUGAACCAAAACCUCAAAUAUAAUCAAGCUCAUGGAGAAGUUUCAGGAGUGCUAAGUAGCAAAACAGUAGUGCACAUGGAAGAGGAAAACAUGCAUCAAGACGAGGAAAUGGGGAUGGGGAAAAAUAUGCUAAGUUAAACUAGUAGACAUGCUAGUGGCAAUAAGAGUAACAAAAACAUAGGUAAAAGCACACAAGAAAUAAUAUUAAUUGCAAAACUAAUAUGAGCAUGUUGUUUUGGAGGCUUUCUCUUAAAUAGGUGACAUACCAGUUGCAGGUAAUAGGAUACAAUAGCAGUGCAAUAGUGCACAAAGGGAGAGCAAAGUAUGCAAAUAAUGAGAGCAGCAGUGUGAGUAACAGCAAUAUGAGAAUAGCAGCAGCAAUAUGAGACUAGCAGCAACAACAGACCCAAUGUAGACAAACAAAUAGAACCCAAUAGUGUAAAGUAAUCAACCCAAGUUAC
rnacentral:lncRNA from 1 species